GGCCAAGCUGCGCGAUGGGCAGGAGCCGCUGCUCCGAGCCAAGAUCCCGCUCAACAUCCUGGGGCUGCCAAUCUGCUCGGGCGUGAGCAUGGGCAGCAGCCAGGAGCUGGGGCUCCACGUCUCGACGCUGGUGGCGGCGGGGCCUUCAUGCCGGGUAACGUUUCUCCCCAACGAUUCCCACGCGCCCGUGUGUGUGAUGAUCAAGGCAGGGUUUGGGCCCUGGGGAUCUCCCGUGGGCUCCUGCCUCGCCAUCUCCGCGCAGCUCAAGCUUCCAACUUGGAGCCAGCAGCGACCCUCCUUUUCCAUUUCACUCAAGCCGCGCAAUGGUGAUUUCAUGCUGCUCAAGAAUGUGAGGGGAAUCGAGCUCAAGGGCCGCAAACCAAGCAAGGAAGAAUCGCCGGACGAGGCGACUGCCUCGAAUGGCGUGAGUGUUGCGGAGCUGGCCAAAGCAUUUGACAAGGAGAAAACAAGCAGCACCAAGAAUGUGAAUGGCUGCUUGGAAGACGAUGGCUGGGUGAUCCCCGACGCUGGAACGAUGACAAGAACACGAAGAAAAGGUUUCAGCACCACCCCGGCUGCCUUCAAGGGGUGGAGUGUAGCAGCGCACAGCAGCCUUCCCCUGGGGCAACGGGUGUACGCUGGAAUAAGAUGGCGAGUGGGAGUCCCUGGAGAUUUGGUUGAGACUCUGGCCUCUAAUCCUCACAAGCUCUGGUCACGAUUGAGCUCCCCGGUUCUCAAGCUCGACAAGAUCACCCUCUACAGCAUCGAGCCCAAGGACGAUCAAGCGAAGCCCGACAGCAUGAGUGAUUCCAUGGCAGCAGCUCAGCAAGCUUGGAUGGAGGAGAACCAAGAGCUUAACAAGGUCGCGGCCAUGUGUUCUUCCAUACGGAGGCAACUCCAUCUGGUGUACAGCGAGAACCGAGUUCUGAGGAACACACUGGAGGAGAUGCGAAGGAACUUUAACAGCAGGGGAAGCACCCCCACGGAGAUGCCAUCUUCCAUAGUCAUGGACAAAGCUGUGCUACCAUUGGCCGACUACGAGAACUUCCACAGGAGUCAGCAAUCGCCAAUCCCGGGGAAGAAGGAAUUUGAUGCCGAUGCUACUGCUCCGGCCGCUGACAAGAAUAGGGAGCAACAGAAUCAAUACCAGAGCAAACAACACAAGCCACGGCCGCCGGAUACUGCUGCUGUAGCUCCCGAGAAAUCUGGCCCUCCGCCACCUCCCGCUCCUUCGGCGUCUGCAGUUGCCAAGGAGCUCAAAAAGGCAAUCAAUGCAAGCAAAUCGACGUGAUUGCUUGUGUCAUGAUGUAUAUAGGAAAAUGUAAAGUACGUUUUCUCAAAUCAAGAUGAACAGUCUAUUUACAAUAUUCAAUCAAAGGAACUUCUCCAAACCAAAACUCUAUAGGCCAUUGCAAGCGUGCCACCUUCCAGAUAUACGUGCCAAACUGAGCUUGGUCCUACUGGUUAGCGUGAGGCCUCCGUAAAAGAAUGAGUUUGUAAAAGUCCACCACCAUGAUCGUGAUGGAAGAAAGACGGGCUCUACUGCUUGGUGUCCUUAAACCACCAGCUUGCUGGAACUCCAAGCUCUGCCUUGAGAUAGUCCGAUCUCUUGUUCACCAGUGCGAUAUCCCGGGUGCCCGAGACACUGAAGGGCUUGCUCGGCCCUUGGUAGCCAUCAACCAGGUGAAGCAAGGCCUCCAAGUUGUGCAGAUCGGUCAAGCCACCAUCUUCCCUCAGAAACGGAGAGAUGUCGCUGCUGAGCUCAAACUCGGUGCCAACAUGGGUGUAGGCCCAUGGGAACCUGUGGAAGAUGAGCGAGCUGAUAUCACAGCUGUCCUCGUUGACAAUCACCCCUGGAACUUUGGGCACCAGGUCUGCGCCAUUGCGUGUCUGGAGGACUUUGAGCCCGAGCUCGAGGCACCUGUUCUUGAAACCCCGGUUCCCAACUCGGGGUGCCGAGAAUGUGAAGACGGACACCGGGGUAUUGCUCCCGGGCAGCCCAAGCUCUGUCACGUCGUAGGCGCUGAGGAGUGCAAGCGCGCCACCCAGGCUGUGGCCCGUGAACGUCAUACUCAGCUGCUCACCCUGGUAGAGCCCGACCAAUCGCUUGAUCUCCGAGUGGAGAUGCUGCCUCGCGCUCAUCCCGUCGUGAUCGCCGGGGACUGGAGACGUGUAGAUGCUGAGAAAUCCCGUCUCCACUUUCACGCCUUUGGUGUUGUGAUCCGUGGGGUCGAGCCCGGUGGGGCGGAGGAGAUCCUUGAGGUUCUCGAUCCACUCGAGCUGCGUCACCGUCCCGCGCCAGGCCACCACAAUGUCGCGGCGUCCCAACCGUCGGAUGGCCUCGUCCGACGUGGCAACCGCCACGAAGCCCAUCCAGUUGGUGUCCGACGUCCACGAGUCGUCGCCGGGUUGGGCGUUGGAAUUGGAGCGCUUGAAGAAACUGGGCAAGCCCAGCUGCGAUGUCGCGUAGAGAUAGGCCGUGAUUUCGUAUCCCGUGCUUGGGAGUCCCACGGAUUGGAGCAGCUCCUCCUUGGAGAACUUUGUGUCUCCACAGAAUUCCGAGCCCUCGCUGUAUUCGAAGCCGUCGUAGCAAACCUGCGCAAAUUCACCGUAUCGGAUGAUCUCCCGCCGGAGCCGAUCGUCGAUGGAGGCGUUGGCGGGCGGGAGGAGCGGACUCCAGUGGCAUGCAUCCCGCCAGCCUGACAGCUGCGUCUCCUCCAGCUCCACAACCCGCGCGCCAUGACCAUCUCCAUCAGAUCUCUCCAACGUCCUUCUCUUGAAUGACAGUGACAAUGAAACUCGUGCCAUGAUCUCGAUGCUCGCUCCCGAGGCUUUGAUGGGCUUGGAAAUUGUUGAUACGCCUAUCGAUCGAUCAGCUCCUCCUUGGCGAGUAUGGUUGCAAUGAAUCAGAUGAUCGCUUUGUAAAGAACUUCUCCCCUUCUUGUUUCUCCCUUCGUGUAAAUUGCUGCUGGAAUGCUGAGAUUGUGGCAGAGGAUUUAUAGCAGUAUCGCUUUCAAAGUUUGCCACCGGGUCAAAAGAAGCAUAUACGAAAUUCUCACGUUGGUCUCUUCUCUUCUCGAAUGGGAAACAUAACAGUCAAAAUUCAAACCACACCACCCCACAGGGUCAAUCAUAUGGAAGGAGGUAUUGCGUAUUUGAUUAGAAGACUUUCACUGAACUUUCACUCUUCAUUCUUAUUUAGAGGGAAUUAUAAAUUCAAGUGACAUAAUGAAUUUUCAUUACAAAGUUGAACAUCAAUGUUGGUCAACACAUUGCAUAUGACACGGCAAUAGUGUGGUGGCGCCACUCUAUGGAGCCUUUCCUCAAUCAAGACUCCAAGUGGUUCAUCAAGGAGAUGAUUAAUUACAUGGGGUUGGGAUUUCCAAUCAAUGCUUGCCAGCUUUGAAUUUUGGAGAAGCUUUACAAAGCUCAUGAAGAUUGACAUCAAUUUAAGUAUCUUUAGAGAGAUGAAUAGAUUGAGUGAAUCAACCAAGUGGUUGAAGACAUGCUAAGAUGCACUAUGCAUAAAUAGAAUAACUUUUUAUUUUCUGUCAAGUUUUUCUAUAAGGGUGGGGUUCCAUGUGUCCCCCACCUGGAAAUUUUUUCACCCUGGAAAAAAAAACUUCCCCCUUCGAAUAUUUUAAGGUUACAUGUAACCCACGUUUAAAAUGUCAUGUCAUCAAUAUAGUUUUUGCCAACUCAGUUAAAUUUGUUUUGUCUUUUUUAAGCAAUGAUUACUAUUUUUAUACGUGGUACUAUUUUAUUGACUUGUUCUACCGGGUUUCAGGCACCGGGAGAAAUUUUGGGGGGGGACAUCAGGUUCCCCCAAUUCCAUUGCCACGUCACUGGUGGGGUACAUGAAACAAGGGGUUAAAAAUUUUCCCCCUUGAAAAACUUCCCCCGGUACCCUGCCCUAACAACAAUUAGCAUAGUGGCACUAAAAUAUAAGACACUUAAGUUUAGAGCCAAAUUCCAAGCUAAAUUCCAAGCCUAUUAUUCUAUGAACAAAAGUUUAAUAUGCACUCAAAAAAACACCAUUUCCUUAUAUUCAACUUUUGCAUAUAAAAUAGUGUCAAAUUGAGUUCAGAAUAACAUACCAAUGGCCUAAUGUGAGAAAAUAGAUACCCCAUUAACUAAAGUAGCAUGGAAUUUGGGCAAGUUAGAUGUAAAACAAGGAAUGACACAGUUGAAAAUUAAUGUUCCAAAUAAUCACUUAUAUUUCCAACUAUUAUCUAUACUAUAUUUAAAAUCCCCCAUAUUUGCUAAAAGGUGUUUUGACAAGGAAUGAAUCUCAAGUAAAUUCCUAUUAAAUGUUUCAGGCUGAGGAAAAAAAGAUGGAGCCAAGAAAUGUGAUCAGACUGGAGGAAGGAUUGUUAUAACCCUGGGAUUAAUAUUCAUCUAUAUGGUUUAAGGAUGAUUAAGUUAAAUUUAGUUAGUUUAUUUUAACAAAGAUUGACUAAUCUAGAGCAGUGGCACAGGCAGUCCAGGGUGGUUAUUUACUUUGCAUCUGCAUGUUAAUUCUUCCCUACAUUCAAACAAGUCAUCAUGGUCCUAAGGCUCAAUUUAUGCAGGAGAGGAUACAUCAAAUGUCAUGGAAAUAAUAUAAAAUCUGGCAAUAAAUAUCCUAAGCAAAUCACAUAUCUACCGUAAUUAAUGAAGGCCACAUUAAAUUAUUUUUCAAAAGUAUGGUGGUCGACAAAAAGAAAUGUCCAUACUUUUUCAAGACUUUCUCUCCAGCUUAGGAUAGGAAGGUGGUGGUGGUAUAUAUGGACUUGAGCACUAUUUAUAAGCUAAUAUUGAUAAAUAAGCUACAAAACUAAUGCACAUCUUGUCUUUGGAGCACUCAUCUUGGUUUAGUAUGAUUAAUUGAUCAUGCAAGUUGACUAUUUUAUUUUAUUUUAUUUUUUAAAAUCAUUUAGUGAUGAUAGAAACCAAAAUGGAAGUAAUUCUUAUCACUACUUGCAUUCUAGAUAUUGCAACCUCAAGUGAUCAUCAAAAGAAAUUGUUAAAACUUUUAAAACAAACUUUUAUCCUAGUGCAUGCAAGCUCCAUUAUCAUCAACUCUCAAAACCAUUUGAAUCAUAGUCUUCCAUUAGGAUGAGCAUUCAAGAUUCUCCUGAUAUAAGAUUCUAAAGGAAAAUGUGGAAUAAACUGAUCUUGAAUGGAAAUCUUUAUUCAAGUUUAAAGCAUAAUAAUCUAUAUGUAUAACUAUUAGUUUUAAUUAUCCAUGGUGGAUUAUUUUUAUAACAAAUAAUAUAUUUGAUGAUUGUAAAAUAAAAAAUGCAGUUGCAGGUUAUGUUGUUUGCUCUGGUUUUGAAUCAGCUGCUCUCUCUUUUCAAGUAUUGCAAAUAUAAUUUUCAAGUGACGCUUGGUUCAUAUCAACUAAUAAAAUUAAAUCUGAAAACAUACAUGCUAAUAUUUAUUAAAGUAAAUUGAAGCUAUGCAUUAAAUAAUUUGCUGCAGGAUUUUUUCUUAAUUACCAGAUACUCCUGCUAGGUCCCAAGGAAUCUAUCCCUUGGCCACGGCCAUGGAUUGCUCACUGCAGCUGCAUCAUCAAUCUCCUCAGCUGCACCGCACUCCCUUGUGGCCAAGGAGCUCAAGAAGGGAAACAACGCAAGCAAAUUGUUUGUGUCAAAGUUUUUCAAAUCAAGAUAUUUACCAGAUUCAAUCGAAUGAACUAAGUUUCCCAAAUCAAAACUCUAUUGCAAGCGUGCCACCUUUCAGUUAUACGUGUCAAUCUGAGCUUGAUCCUACGGAUCAGCUUGAGGCCGAGGCUUGGUGUCCUUAAACCACCAAUUUGCUGGAACUCCAAGCUCUGCCGUGAGAUAGUCCGAUCUCUUGUUCACCAGUGCGAUAUUCCGGGUGCCCGA
rnacentral:lncRNA from 1 species